rnacentral:tRNA from 1 species
GGCCCCAUCGUCUAGUGGCCCAGGAUGUCACCCUUUCAAGGUGAAGACACGGGUUCGAGUCCCGUUGGUGCUA